GUAGAAUCACUCUUGAGCAAACUUAUUCACGAAUUUGAGUGCCGUAUUGCAUAUCAGAAUGAAUUGGUGAAAGACACUAUGGAUACUAAUGAGAGUAAGUCAUUAUCUAGAACAGACUCACCACAAAAUGGAGGCUACUUCCGCCUGCGAUAUGGAUAAGGUGGAUGAAAAAGACCACAAUUCUGUGAGUGUGAAGGAAGAUUUCAGCAUUGUAAUACCUACACCACUAAAUGAUAAUAAUGUAGAUAAACUUAUGCAACCAAAGUCAGAAAGAAAUUUUGAUAAACAACAUAAACAGAUCCAGGUAUUUGUAAUGUGUAGUGAUCUUUCACGAAUUUGUUUACUUGCAUCUCCAUUAUCUUCCUAUGAUUGUUGAAACUGGCUGUAGGAUUUGAAAAGCAUCCUUUCCACUAUUAAGUCUGGGAUGGAGCACUUAAAAUUGCAGUACUCUGAAGAUCUUACAAAGCUUGGUAUAUUGAGCCCUAAAUUUUGAAUCAUAAUAUUAUACUUUAUUUUUUAAAAUGGUGCAUCUCAUAUUAUUUUGUGCUCUAUUAGGUGAUCAUUUCUGUGUUGUUUCUCAUGCGGCUUCCGGGUACCAUAAAGUUCUUGAGGAGAACCGGAAGCUGUACAACCAAAUACAAGACCUUAGAGGAAAUAUUAGAGUGUAUUGUAGAGUGAGACCUUUCCUUCCUGGAAAAGUAAGUUCAUCAACCAGUGUUGCUGGAAUAGAAGAUAGAACCAUCACACUCAUAAUACCAUCAAAAUAUGGAAAAGAUGCACGGAAGUCUUUUACUUUCAACAGGGUCUUUGGGCCCUUAGCCA